CCUACGGGGUGCAGCAGUGAGGAAUAUUGCACAAUGGGGGAAACCCUGAUGCAGCGACGCCGCGUGAGUGAAGAAGUAAUUCGUUAUGUAAAGCUCUAUCAGCAGGGAAGAAAAUGACGGUACCUGAGUAAGAAGCCCCGGCUAACUACGUGCCAGCAGCCGCGGUAAUACGUAGGGGGCAAGCGUUAUCCGGAUUUACUGGGUGGAAAGGGAGCGUAGACGGCAGUGCAAGUCUGGAGUGAAAGGCGGGGGCUCAACCCCCGGACUGCUCUGGAAACUGUACGGCUGGAGUGCAGGAGAGGUAAGUGGAAUUCCUAGUGUAGCGGUGAAAUGCGUAGAUAUUAGGAGGAACACCAGUGGCGAAGGCGGCUUACUGGACUGUAACUGACGUUGAGGCUCGAAAGCGUGGGGAGCAAACAGGAUUAGAUACCCCAGUAGUC
rnacentral:rRNA from 1 species